rnacentral:sRNA from 1 species
GCUUUCUCUUUUUCUUCUUCUUCGAUUUCUUCGUUUCAAUUUUUUUUU